ACUAGCAUGCCGUUAACCCCGCCCGAGUAGUAACAGUCUUCGCUCUAAACUCAAAGAAUUUGGCGGCGUCCCACCUUUUUAGAGGAACCUGCCCCGUAAUCGAUGGCCCACGUUGUUUACAGCCCUCCCUAAAAGCUUGUAUACCGCCGUUUAGGGUAUACUCUAAAGCUUACCCCAAAUUAAUUUAUUAAAUAAUUCAGGUCAAGGUGCAGCCUAUAGGAGGGUGGAGGUGGGUUACACUUUUCGAACACCUAGAUUGGGGAGUUACACCCCCUAAGAAACUGGAUUUAAAAGUAAAUUUUAAAAAUUUAUAAAAUUGGCCUAGCC
rnacentral:rRNA from 1 species